rnacentral:tRNA from 1 species
GCCGGAGUAGCCUAACGGAUAAGGCAACUGACUUCUAAUCAGUUGGAUGCGGGUUCAAGUCCUGCCUCCGGUA